rnacentral:rRNA from 1 species
UACGGGGGGGGGCAAGCGUUGUUCGGAAUUACUGGGCGUAAAGGCUCGUAGGCGGCCAACUAAGUCGGAUGUGAAAUCUCCAGGCUCAACCUGGAGGGGUCAUUCGAUACUGCCGUGACUAGAGGUCGGUAGGGGAGUGUGGAAUUCCUGGUGGAGCGGUGAAAUGCGCAGAUAUCGAGGAGGAACACCCGUAGCGAAGGCGGCACUCUGGGCCGAUACUGACACUGAGGAGCGAAAGCGUGGGGAGCGAACAGG